rnacentral:rRNA from 1 species
AGUGGCGGACGGGUGAGUAACACGUAAGAAUUUGCCUUUAGGAGGGGGACAACAACUAGAAAUGGUUGCUAAUACCCCAUAUGCUUUCGAGUGAAAUGGAUUUUUCCGCCUAGAGAGAAGCUUGCGGCUGAUUAGCUUGUUGGUGAGGUAAUGGCUCACCAAGGCGACGAUCAGUAUCUGGUUUGAGAGGACGAUCAGACACACUGGAACUGAGACACGGUCCAGACUCCUACGGGAGGCAGCAGUGGGGAAUUUUCCGCAAUGGGCGAAAGCCUGACGGAGCAAUACCACGUGAGGGAUGACGGCCUAUGGGUUGUAAACCUCUUUUUUCAGGGAGGAAUCAAUGACGUGUACCUGAAGAAUAAGCAUCGGCUAACUCCGUGCCAGCAGCCGCGGUAAGACGGGGGAUGCAAGUGUUAUCCGGAAUCACUGGGCGUAAAGCGUCUGUAGGUGGUCCAAUAAGUCAACUGUUAAAUCUUGAGGCUCAACCUCAAAAUCGCAGUCGAAACUAUUAGACUAGAGUAUAGUAGGGGUAAAGGGAAUUUCCAGUGGAGCGGUGAAAUGCGUAGAGAUUGGAAAGAACACCGAUGGCGAAGGCACUUUACUGGGCUAUUACUAACACUCAGAGACGAAAGCUAGGGUAGCAAAUGGGAUUAGAUACCCCAGUAGUCCUAGCCGUAGACAAUGGAUACUAGAUGUU